rnacentral:rRNA from 1 species
AUACCAAGAUGUGGCCCCCUGGGAGGCAUCUCCUAGGGAUUAAAUGGUUUUUCGCUUCAGAAGCGGUUUACGGCCCUAUCAGCUUGUGGGCGGGGUAAUGGCCCACCAAGGCUUCGACGGGUAGCGGGUCUGAGAGGAUGAUCCCGCCCGAGUGGGACUGAGACACGGCCCACACACCUACGGGUGGCAGCAGUUUGGAAUAUUGCACAAUGGGGGAAACCCUGAUGCAGCGACGCCGCGUGGAGGAUGAAGGAUCUAGGUCUGUAAACUCCUUUUAUCGGGAAAGACUUAGGACGGUACCCGAUGAAUAAGCACCGGCUAACUACGUGCCAGCAGCCGCGGUAAGACGUAGGGUGCAAGCGUUGUCCGGAUUUACUGGGCGUAAAGGACGCGUAGGCGGUCCGUUAAGUGUGAAGUGAAAUCUCCAGAGCUCAACUCGGAAACUGCUUCGCAUACUGGCGGACUAGAGGGAUGCAGAGGUAGCUAGAAUUCCUGGUGUAGCGGUGAAAUGCGUUGAUAUCAGGAGGAAUACCCAUGGCGAAGGCAGGCUACUGGGCAUCAUCUGACGCUGAGGCGUGAAAGCGUGGGUAGCAAACAGGAUUAGAUACCCUGGUAGUCCACGCCCUAAACGAUGGAUACUAGACGUAAGAGGUAUCGACCCCUCUUGUGUCGCAGCAAACGCACUAAGUAUCCCGCCUGGGGACUACGGCCGCAAGGUUGAAACUCAAAUGAAUUGACGGGGACCCGCACAAGCGGUGGAGCAUGUGGAUUAAUUCGAUACUAACCGAAGAACCUUACCCAGGUUUGACAUCGAUCGUAAGUCCAAGAGAUUGGACCCUCUUCCCAAAAGGAAGACGUGAAGACACUUGUUGCAUGGCUGUCGUCAGCUCGUGCCGUGAGGUGUACGGUUAAGUCCGCCAACGAGCGCAACCCUCGUCCUAUGUUGCCAGCGAGAAAGUCGGGAACUCAUAGGAGACCGCCGGUGUAAACCGGAGGAAGGUGGGGAUGACGUCAAGUCAGCAUGGCAGUUACGCCUGGGGCUUCACACAUGCUACAAUGGGCGAAACAAAGGGAUGCAAUAUCGCGAGAUGGAGCUAAUCCCAAAAAUACGCCCCCAGUUCAGAUUGCAGUCUGCAACUCGACUGCAUGAAGGUGGAAUCGCUAGUAAACGCAGGU